AGUGGGAUAGCUGGGUCAAAUGUUGGUUCCAUUCCAAGUUUUCUGAGGAAUCUCCAUAUUGCUUUCCAUAUUGGCUACACCAAUUUGCAGUCCCACCAGCAAU
rnacentral:pre_miRNA from 1 species